UAUAGCACUAAUUUUAUAGAAUAGUAGAAUUUAGAUUCAUAAAGGAAGAGAUUUUGAAACAAGAAAUAAGAAACAAAAAAAUAGAAUAUAGAUGGGAGGAGAAGGAAGAAAGAGAAGAAAAAGAAGAGGUGAAGAAGAAAGGAGAAAAGAAGGAAGAUUUUGAGAUCGAAGUCAAAAAAUAAGAAUGAAAAAUGGAGAUAAGAGAUUGAAAAUGAAAGACAAGAACUAAGGGCAUGAAGAAAAAAGAAAGAUUGAGAUAGAAGACAAAUAAAAAAAAAAGGAGAAAAGAGACAUAGAACCAAGAAGAAGAGACAAAAGACAAAUAAUAAG
rnacentral:lncRNA from 1 species